GACGAACGCUGGCGGCGUGCCUAAUACAUGCAAGUAGGACGCAGUUGCGAACGGGUGAGUAACGCGUAGGUAACUACCUAUUAGAGGGGGAUAACUAUUGGAAACGAUAGCUAAUACCGCAUACUAGUAGAUGGACCUGCGUUGUAUUAGCUAGUAGGUAGGGUAAUGGCCUACCUAGGCAACGAUACAUAGCCUAGUUGAGAGGGGGGUCGGGCACACUGGGAAUGAGGCACGGCCCAGGUUCCUACGGGAGGCAGCAGUAGGGGAACUUCGGCAAUGGGGGGAAACCUGACCGAGCAACGGCGCGUGAGUGGAGAAGGUUUUCGGAGCGUAAAGCUCUGUUGUUAAGGAAGCGGUACUUAACCAGAAAGGGACGGCUAACUACGUGCCAGCCGCCGCGGUAAUAC
rnacentral:rRNA from 1 species